rnacentral:lncRNA from 1 species
CAGGAGCCUCCUUCCCAGACCCUGUUCUUGGCCUUCCAUCCUCUCCCGACAGCUGAUGGUCCCUCCAAGGCAAACUCCUAAGGAAUCACCAUCACUCUCCUUUCUAUUCUGGGGGCUUCAGAGAGAGCCCAGCCUGAUGCCAGGACAAAGGACAGAGAACUUCAAGCACAGGAAUCCCAGACCUGCUGUUCUCUUCCAUGCAGCAUGACCAGGGGCACAUCUGCUAGCCAAGCCACACCAGCCAGUGAGCCGGUGCCCCAGUACGCCUCCCCAGAGCCUUCUGCACUGGCAGGGUCGUGGGAGCAGACACUGAGGGCACCCAAGCCCUGGAGUGACUCCAGGCUGGGAGGCAGGUGAAAGGACCCUGGUAGUGGAGUGUGGCCUCCUGAGCUUCCUGGUCCUGCGGCCCAGCACGACUACAUGGGACACCUGGCCAGGGAAUUCUGAAAGCCAGAGAGCAGCCCCCACCAGGCAUCGGGAAUGCCCCCGUCCCCUCCCUCCCAAGUAGACAUACCUUUCCAGCUUUCCUCUGGCUCCUGUUUCCAGAGCAUAAGGCUGUCUUUGAUCCUAAGAGGCAACCAACCCUGCAUGAAGGGCGCCUGGGCCUGCCAACAGGCUCCCCCUAUACCUCAGGCUGUGGUGGGAGCAGAGGCCCUUCCUCUGGCCCCACGUCCCUCAAGCCUGCUCCUUCCAGCACAGGGAAGGAGGUGGGCCCUCCAGCCAGCACAGGUCAUGGACUAACCUGGACUAGAAGCAAGUGGGCCCUGUCCAUGCACUGCAUCCCCACUGCCCACCGGGCACUAGGGCCCCUUGCCUCGGCUGGGACUGGGGAGGGCAGGAGCCCUCUUCCUGGAGACCACAGACCUCAGGGCUUGAGGGACCAGGGGUGGGCCAGAACGGAUGAGCAGGGAGGCCAGGCAAUUCCAGGACACCUUCCUGCCCCAGGUCAGGGGAGCUGGAGGGAGCGGGGGAGGGGACUCUGGAUUAGCAGAGGGAUUGAUGGAAAGUGGGCAGAGAUAAUUUGGACGUUGAGGGGAAAGGAGACCUGAGCACACACUGCUUUGGAAAUCACUCUAUUUUAAACACAAAACGGGAAAGAAAAGCUCUCUUGUCCCUCAGUCGGGAGCAUGCAGAGCACGCCCGCCUCCUGUCCAGCCGCCCCCUCUCCCCCAGAGAGAGCCCUGUGCGCGGGCCGCCCCCUCUCCCCCGGAGAGAGCGGUGUGCGCGUGCUGCCCCUCCACCAGGACAGAAGGCAUUUCCCUGGUUCCAGGCCACUGCAGUGGCCCCCUGGUGGUUAUCCCACUCAUGCUCUGAAAGUUGGAAGCACAAUUUUCCUCCCGAGUGGAGGAAAAGGCCCGCGCCUACUGAAGAGGUGUUUAUAUUUUAACCGCUAACAGCCCCCACUCCGUUUAAACUCACAGUACCUGUCUGAGGACCACUGAGAACCCUCUCCUGGUGUGUCGGGGGUGGGACUCAGUCGGGAGACCUAACAUUCAGAAAAUAGCAUUGGCUGCCUAUUUUGAGAUGGAUUUAACUUCCCACAGUAGUCAUGAAACCAUCAGAUGGGAUGGUAUCCCUGAGGACCUGAGCCGCCUUGCAGGACGUUUCCCAACCUCAGUCUUUGGAUGGUUACUUUGGAAAUCAAGCCCUCGGAAUCAGGUGGGGUGGCACGGGACAGGAGGGAGGAGGUGGGCCCAGGGCACCCAUCAAAUGGGUGAGUGUAUGCCCAGGCACUCCACUGCCUCACCCACUGAAACCAGCCUUGAACGCUCAGGUCAACCCAGCUGGUCUUAGGCCUCCUUCUCAGCCAAAACCCAGGGCUCAUUUUCAGGAAAUUGAUAAUGAACAACAAAAUGGGGUAUUCUUUUUUUUUUUUUUUCUGGCAGAUGCUACUUCAGUUGUUUUCACCUAAUAUCCCCUCUCAGCUGCAUGUGUAUUUAUUUAUAAUUAUAACCUUGGUGGACUGCAGCUUUCAUCCUUGUUGGGAAUGAGUUUGUGAUAAAUCAGAAUUGGGUCCAUGGCCACAAUUUGUUCUCCAAACCCAGUCCAUUCCCUGCUCCCCACUGCAAAAGAGUGAGGUUGGGGCCUAGGAGUCCAGAGAACAGAGUCUGGGGUGAGCUGCACCAUCUGGUCUGUUUUAAUUUAACUGUAUUUAAUUCUUUUCAAAAUUAAAGUCAAAUAUGGUUUUUAACAGUCCUAAUUCUCCUUAGCCCUGCCUUAUUUUAUUCUCAUUUAUUGCUUUAACUAUCCAACCAAUAUUUAUUUGUUGGGUGCCGUCUAAG